GACGAACGCUGGCGGCGUGCCUAAUACAUGCAAGUCGAACGCUGAAGGAGGAGCUUGCUCUUCUGGAUGAGUUGCGAACGGGUGAGUAACGCGUAGGUAACCUGCCUGGUAGCGGGGGAUAACUAUUGGAAACGAUAGCUAAUACCGCAUAACAGUAGAUGUUGCAUGACAUUUGCUUAAAAGGUGCAAUUGCAUCACUACCAGAUGGACCUGCGUUGUAUUAGCGAGUUGGUGGGGUAACGGCUCACCAAGGCGACGAUACAUAGCCGACCUGAGAGGGUGAUCGGCCACACUGGGACUGGGACACGGCCCAGACUCCUACGGGAGGCAGCAGUAGGGAAUCUUCGGCAAUGGACGGAAGUCUGACCGAGCAACGCCGCGUGAGUGAAGAAGGGUUUCGGAUCGUAAAGCUCUGUUGUAAGAGAAGAACGAGUGUGAGAGUGGAAAGUUCACACUGUGACGGUAGCUUACCAGAAAGGGACGGCUAACUACGUG
rnacentral:rRNA from 1 species